UCCGGAGCUAACGCGUUAAGUCGACCGCCUGGGGAGUACGGCCGCAAGGUUAAAACUCAAAUGAAUUGACGGGGGCCCGCACAAGCGGUGGAGCAUGUGGUUUAAUUCGAUGCAACGCGAAGAACCUUACCUGGUCUUGACAUCCACGGAAGUUUUCAGAGAUGAGAAUGUGCCUUCGGGAACCGUGAGACAGGUGCUGCAUGGCUGUCGUCAGCUCGUGUUGUGAAAUGUUGGGUUAAGUCCCGCAACGAGCGCAACCCUUAUCCUUUGUUGCCAGCGGUCCGGCCGGGAACUCAAAGGAGACUGCCAGUGAUAAACUGGAGGAAGGUGGGGAUGACGUCAAGUCAUCAUGGCCCUUACGACCAGGGCUACACACGUGCUACAAUGGCGCAUACAAAGAGAAGCGACCUCGCGAGAGCAAGCGGACCUCAUAAAGUGCGUCGUAGUCCGGAUUGGAGUCUGCAACUCGACUCCAUGAAGUCGGAAUCGCUAGUAAUCGUGGAUCAGAAUGCCACGGUGAAUACGUUCCCGGGCCUUGUACACACCGCCCGUCACACCAUGGGAGUGGGUUGCAAAAGAAGUAGGUAGCUUAACCUUCGGGAGGGCGCUUACCACUUUGUGAUUCAUGACUGGGGUGAAGUCGUAACAAGGUAACCGUAGGGGAACCUGCGGUUGGAUCAC
rnacentral:rRNA from 1 species